rnacentral:rRNA from 1 species
GAUGAACGCUGGCGGCGUGCCUAAUACAUGCAAGUCGAGCGAACGGAUAAGGAGCCUGCUCCUUUGAAGUUAGCGGCGGACGGGUGAGUAACACGUGGGUAACCUACCUAUAAGACUGGAAUAACUUCGGGAGACCGGAGCUAAUGCCGGAUAACAUUUGGAACUGCAUGGUUCUAAAGUAAAAGGUGGUUUUGCUAUCACUUAUAGAUGGACCCGCGCCGUAUUAGCUAGUUGGUAAGGUAACGGCUUACCAAGGCAACGAUACGUAGCCGACCCGAGAGGGUGAUCGGCCACACUGGCACUGAGACACGGUCCAGACUCCUACGGGAGGCAUCAGUAGGGAAUCUUCCGCAAUGGACGAAAGUCUGACGGAGCAACGCCGCGUGAGUGAUGAAGGUUUUCGGAUCGUAAAACUCUGUUAUUAGGGAAGAACAAAUGUGUAAGUAACUGGGCACAUCUUGACGGUACCUAAUCAGAAAGCCACGGCUAACUACGUGCCAGCAGCCGCCGUAA